GACGAACGCUGGCGGCGUGCUUAACACAUGCAAGUCGAGCGGUAAGGCCCUUCGGGGUACACGAGCGGCGAACGGGUGAGUAACACGUGGGUGACCUGCCCUCAGCUCUGGGAUAAGCCUGGGAAACUGGGUCUAAUACCGGAUAUGACCUUUCACUGCAUGGUGGGGGGUGGAAAGUUUUUCGGCUGGGGAUGGGCCCGCGGCCUAUCAGCUUGUUGGUGGGGUGAUGGCCUACCAAGGCGACGACGGGUAGCCGGCCUGAGAGGGCGACCGGCCACACUGGGACUGAGACACGGCCCAGACUCCUACGGGAGGCAGCAGUGGGGAAUAUUGCGCAAUGGGCGGAAGCCUGACGCAGCGACGCCGCGUGGGGGAUGACGGCCUUCGGGUUGAAAACCUCUUUCGCCAGGGACGAAGCCUUCGGGUGACGGUACCUGGAUAAGAAGCACCGGCCAACUACGUGC
rnacentral:rRNA from 1 species